UACGUAGGGUGCGAGCGUUAAUCGGAAUUACUGGGCGUAAAGCGUGCGCAGGCGGUUUUGUAAGUCGAAUGUGAAAGCCCCUGGCUCAACCGGGGAGGGUCAUUCGAUACUGCUCGACUCGAAGGCAGGAGAGGGAAGCGGAAUUCCCGGUGUAGUGGUGAAAUGCGUAGAUAUCGGGAGGAACACCUAUGGCGAAGGCAGCUCGCUGGGACGUUACUGACGCUGAGACGCGAAAGCGUGGGGAGCAAACAGG
rnacentral:rRNA from 1 species